GCUGUGUGAGUUAAAAUGCAUGUGUGUACCAGUGUGUGUCUGGUACACUCCUCACGGGACUCACUCUAGUGUGUGUGCGUGGUGUGUGUCAGUCGUUGAUUGAGUUAAAUACAAAGAGCCUCUAGGGAGCAGAACAGAAGCCUGUAAAGUCUCUCUCCAUUUGUCUCUACGGUUAAUGCUUUCAACAAAAACAGCAGGGAUUAAGGAACAGCUGAAUGAACCAGAGGUAACUCAUAUCCGGGUUUUAGGACUACAAGCUGGCGAGCUCUAUAAUGCAUGGUACCUAACAGCAGCAGGCACAACACAGCAUGACUUACUGGCCCUUCUAUUACAUCCCUGUCAUCAUGCAUCUUUAACACGCAGGGAUUCAACCAGCACAAUCCAACACCCUCCACCCUGACCACUCCAAGGCAGCUCCUGCGCGUCAAUAAGAGACUGAAGAGGCUGAAAGACACUGCCUGAAGCCAGAAUAAUAAAUCAUAGUCAUUCUAAAUAAAUCAAUGGAACGACAACAGCAGCAGAGUCACAGGUGAAGUGCGUUGACCUCAUGGUGGUAACUGAUUAGAUGGGGAUCAAUGUGUGAUCAGGGGAGGACAGGGUGGAACCGUGUCAGCGUGUGAGGGUUAGGUCCAGACAGUGUGUCGUGUAAUGGUUACGCAGUGUACAGGCUGCCCAUCAAGCCACAGGCGCAAGGCAUCAAUGACAGUGAAUGGUCAGCAGACUGGACCCCGAUCUCCAUGUUAUUUUGCCCAAAAAUGUAGUAGUGAAGUGUUGGCUUGGCUAUUACAGAUCUGGGAUAAGGCAAGCUUUACAAUAGAGCUCUCGGAUGAAAAAAUAAUAAUUAAAAAGAAAAAGGGACAAAAGCCUACUAAAAACCAUAGGACCUGGUGAGUUAUGUAUGUUUUAAGCCAAUAGCUUGUACAUACUUCAGUGCACCAUCACUGAAUUAUUCCAAUUUGAUCAUGCAUAAAAGCACGACUUGCUUGGACGAGCAUUAGGCUUUCACCCCUGUCACCCUCCUCAUCAUUCUCCUCUUUCCACCCACAGUGCUGAAUUGCCUCCUCAAGGGAAAUCACGAGGAGACAGAAAUGUAUGUACGGACACACACGCACGCGAACAAACACACACGCGCAUGCUUCUCUCUCGCUCUAGCUUCACGUCCCCAUUAGCUCACUGCUAAUGUGUGAACAGCACGUCUACAGCCAUAGUGGUCCACCGAGGCCAACUUCAUGUCCAGUGCUGUAGGUCUCUUAGGGAGUGACCUCUACCCACACAGUGAGACAGACAGAUUCCAUGUCAGUGCCUAACAAAAACUAAAAUGUUGCAUUAGUCAGCCAUUUGCAGAAUCAUGUCAACCCUUAUGUGAUUUGUUAAACAACGCGUUACUCCUGAACUCAUUUAGGCUCGCCUCAAUGCAAUGACUGUAUUUGAGUUAUUUAAUGUGUUCAUUUGGCGAGGAAGUCAUUUUCUUUUCACCUUCACAUUAAGCCUACACCUACUUCAGCUUUUUUUCUCCACAGUUUGUUGCGUUACAGAGUGAGACUUAAAUGUAUUUCAAUUGUACUGUUUAGUCAUUGACCUACACAAAACACUCUUAAUGUGAAGGUGAAAAGAAAAGCCAAAUCUACACUAGAGUUUCUUACCAAGAAAACAGUGAAUGACUUUCUAUAGGAACUGUACGCACACAGACGGUGACAAUCAGAACUAAUGGAGACUGAAAUAGCUGAUUUUUAGACAGCUCUGCGGUUGCAUGCAUCACCAUAACAAUUAAAAGAAAUCGAAAGAAAGAGAAAGAGAAAGAGAGAGAGAAAAAGAGAGAGAGAAAGAAAGAAAGAGAGAGAGAAAAAGAGAGAGAGAGAAAGAAAGAGAGAGAGAAAGAGAGCGAGAAAGAGAGCGAGAAAAAGAAGAAGAAAGA